GAUGAAGAACGUAGCGAAAUGCGAUAAGUAAUGUGAAUUGCAGAAUUCAGUGAAUCAUCGAAUCUUUGAACGCACAUUGCGCCCCUUGGUAUUCCGAGGGGCAUGCCUGUUCGAGCGUCAUUAUAACCCUCAAGCUCAGCUUGGUGUUGGGGCCUGCUGCACUGGCAGCCCUUAAAAUCAGUGGCGGCGCCAUCUGGCUCUAAGCGUAGUAAUUCUUCUCGCUAUGGAGUCCUGGUGGAUGCUUGCCAUCAACCCCCAAUUUCUCUAUGGUUGACCUCGGAUCAGGUAGGGAUACCCGCUGAACUUAAGCAUAUCAAUAAGCGGAGGA
rnacentral:misc_RNA from 1 species